rnacentral:tRNA from 1 species
GCCCGGGUGGCGGAAUGGUAGACGCGCGACACUUAAAAUGUCGUGUCCCAUAGUGGACGUGUCGGUUCGACUCCGACCCUGGGCA